rnacentral:ncRNA from 1 species
CUCGCAUCUUUUGAAGCAACCGCUGCACUUAAAACCACAGUGUCCCCAUAACGAACCAAUACUGCUCCAUUUGCUUGCUUAGCUAAUUGACCGAUUUCAACUUGUAAAGGACGUCCGCCCCAAGUUGUUUUAAACACUUGUUUUUCUGUCAUAUUUUUGUUCUCCUUUGUUUCUUUGGAAAAGUUAGA